GGCUACCUAUAUCUCCAUUCCGGUUCUUCGAGUAUCGAGCAUUUUGAGUGCAUCUUCGCAAGUCACGACUCGAUCCCCCGGCCGCCCUUUCAAGGCGGGAGCACGGGUUCGAAUCCCGUUGGGGCCACCA
rnacentral:tRNA from 1 species